GCUUACGGCCAUACCAGCCUGAAUACGCCCGAUCUCGUCCGAUCUCGGAAGCUAAGCAGGGUCGGGCCUGGUUAGUACUUGGAUGGGAGACCGCCUGGGAAUACCAGGUGCUGUAA
ensembl:rRNA 5S_rRNA 5S ribosomal RNA